rnacentral:misc_RNA from 1 species
GUAGGUGAACCUGCGGAAGGAUCAUUACAAAUCCAUCCAUUCUCCGACACCCGUUGCACCCGGCCGCCCGCCGCGCCGCUGCAUCGUUCGCGAUGCGGCAGCCGCGGCGCGCCUAUUUGGCGCCCCGGACCGAUGAUCCCACGAACGUAUACACACACAACCUAGAAACAACUUAUAACAAUGGAUCUCUAGGCUCUUGCAUCGAUGAAGAACGCAGCAUCUGACUGACUUGGGAUGCAUGCAUCUCGUA